ACAAAUGCUACCCUUUCUUCCCUGAAAUUUCAGGCGACGUCCUUCCUCAGUUCCUCCUACCUUCUUCCCUACAUUCCUCCCUAAACAUUUCUCAAGAAAUAGCUUAAAUAUUGCUAAGCCACCCCUGCCUCCUAGCCUGAAGAGAAAUCAAGCUUCAAGGAGGGGAAAAAAACAACCAUGACUUCUACAAACACCCAAAUCAUCUCUUAUUCUCCUCCUUCUUCUUCUUCUUCUUCUUCCUCUUCUAAAUCAACCCAUCAAUUCCCUUAUGAAGUCUUCUUGAAUUUCAGAGGAGAAGACACCCGCUAUGGUUUCACCGAUCAUCUUUAUGAGGCUUUGAUUUCCCAUGGAAUUCGCACCUUUAGAGAUGACGAAGAACUCGUGAGAGGAAGAGUAAUUGCGUCUGAGCUCCUGAAUGCUAUUGAAGAAUCAAAGAUUUUUGUUAUCAUUUUUUCCAAAAACUAUGCUACCUCCAGGUGGUGUCUAGAUGAGCUCGUGAAGAUCUUCGAUUGCAUGGCAACAAAGCAGCGAUUAAUUCUACCCAUUUUCUAUCAUGUGGAUCCAUCAGAAGUGCGAAAACAGUCAGGAUGUUAUGAAGAAGCAUUUCAUCAUCACGAAAAAGAAGCUGACGUGGAGAAAAAGAAGAAGAUUCAGAAGUGGAGAAUUGCCUUGACAGAAGCAGGCAAUCUAGCUGGAUAUGAUCUACAAAACUAUCGAUAUGAGACAAGGCUUAUUAAGGAAAUUACUAAUGUCAUCCUCAAAGAAUUGAAUUCUAAGCUCUUACUACAUGUUAGUGAGAACAUGGUUGGAAUGAAUUUUCAUUUGGAAAAAUUGAAAUCAUUGAUAAAUAUUGAGUCAAGUGAUGUUCGCAUGAUUGGGAUUUAUGGACUUGGAGGAAUUGGUAAGACCACAAUCUCCAAAGUUGUAUAUAAUAACAUCUUCCAUCUCUUUGAGAGUAGUAUCUUUAUUACAAAUGUGAGAGAAAGAUCUCAAAGCCACUCAAGUCAACUUGAAUUACAAAAAGAACUUCUUAGUGGUAUUAUAAGGGGAAAAAAUUUGGAAAUAAAUAAUAUUCAUGUGAUCAGACAAAGACUUUGCUCAAAAAAGGUUCUUCUCAUUCUUGAUGAUGUAGACAAGUUAGAGCAAUUGGAAUUCUUAGCAGGAAAGCAUGAUUGGUUUGGUCCUGGAAGUAGAAUCAUCAUAACAACUAGAGAUCAACAAUUGCUGAGGGUGCAUAAAGUGAAUGUAUCAUAUGAAGUUAAGGAGUUAGAUUAUAAGGAAUCAAUUAAGCUUUUUUGUCAACAUGCCUUUAAACAAAAUAUUCCAGAAAAAGAUUAUGUAUCUAUCUCAAAUGGUGUGGUACGUUAUGCUAAUGGCCUAUCCUUAGCCAUUAAAAUUUUGGGUUCUUCUCUUUUUAGUAAAAGCAAGGAUGAGUGGGAAAGUACAUUGCAAAAACUAAAAAAAAAAACCCAACAAGCAAGUCCAAAAUGUGCUUAGUAUAAGCCUUGAUGGACUAGAUGAGAUAGAGAAGGGGAUAUUUCUUGAUGUUGCAUGCUUCUUCAAAGGAUGUCAGAAAAACGAUGUUACACGACUACUUGACUGUGCAAAGGGUGUAAUAAGAGUUCUUAGUGACAAGUGUCUAAUUACUCUUUCACAUAACAUCAUAGGGAUGCAUGAUUUGGUACAAGAAAUGGGUAGAGAAAUUGUUCAACAUGAUUAUCCUCAAAAGCCUUGGAAAUGGAGUAGAUUGUGGGACCCUGAGGAUAUUUUCCGCAUAUUGAGACAAAAAAAGGGGCCGAAAGCAAUUGAAGGGAUAUUUCUAGACAUGUCUAGAUCAAGAGAAAUCUCAUUCACUACUAAAGCUUUCGAAAGGAUGGAGAGACUUAGAUUGCUCAAAGUUUAUUGGAGUUGUGAUGUUAAUGUUAAUGAUAUGGGAAAGGAGUAUCAAAAACUCAUCAUUCCUGAAGACUUUGAAUUUCCGUCAUAUGAUUUAAGAUAUCUUCACUGGGAAGGAUAUACUUUAAAAUCCUUACCCUCAAAUUUUGAAGGGGAGAACCUCAUUGAACUCAACUUGAAGCAUAGCAAUAUAAGAUACCUUUGGCAAGGGGAAAAGUGUCUUCAAAAUUUAAAGGUGUUGAAUUUAUCAGGAUCUCAACGGCUCACUAGCAUGCCACACUUCUCAUAUAUGUCAAAUCUGGUGAGACUAAAUAUUGCAUUUUGUGAAAGUUUGGAAAAGGUUGACUCAUCCAUUGGUUCCCUAAAGAAGCUUACUUCAUUGAAUUUGAGUGGGUGCCGAAAGAUUAGGAGCUUGCCAAGUACCAUUCAACACUUGGUCUUUCUUGAAUAUCUCAAUCUCAGUGAUUGUUCAAACUUGGAGACUUUUCCGGAGAUCAGCAAGUAUAUGGAAUGCUUAAAGUAUCUUGAUUUAAGUAGAACAUGUAUAAAAGAGCUUCCAUCAUCAAUUGAAUUUCUAAAUCAUCUCUUUUUUUUUUUAAUUUGGAGGGGUGCGAAAACUUGAGUCGUCUCCCAAAUAGCAUUUGUUGGUUGAAAUCCCUUAGCUAUCUUUCUCUAAGGAAUUGUUCAAACUUGGAGACUUUUCCAGAAAUCAUGGAUGAUAUGAAAUGCUUGAAAGAUCUUGAUUUGGGUGGAACGGGUAUAAAAGAGCUUCCAUCAUCAAUUGAAUAUGUAAAUAAUCUUUCCUAUUUGUCAUUGAAACAAUGCAAAAACUUGAGUCGUCUUCCAAGCAGCAUUGGUAGGUUGAAAUUGCUUAUGUAUCUCCAUCUCGGAGGCUGUCCAAACCUAGUCACAGCGGACAUGGAAAAUUUAACAAAACUUGGUUUAUCAGAAACUCAGAAUCUAAUGGAUGGAGUAACAUCAAGCGAUUUAUGGUGCCUAUCCUCACUGCUAGGUUUAGAUCUAAGCCGAAACGAUAUGCGUCAUAUACCUGCUGCUAUUACUCAACUUUGUAAUCUGAGUUUCCUUAAUAUCAGUCACUGCAACAUGCUUGAAGAAAUUCCAGAGCUUCCAUCAAAUCUAAGAGAAAUCGAUGCACAUGAUUGCGCAAGCCUAGGAAAUCUGUCCAAUUCAUCCACACUUCUCUGGUCUCUCCUCAAAUGGCUCAAGAAAGUUGAGCCUCCUUCGCAAGGGAAACUAAUUGAUCUAGGAAGUCAUGGAAUUCCAGGGUGGGUACUGCAUCAGGAAAUGGGAAGACAAAUAAGAAUAGAGUUCCCUAUGAAUUGGUAUGAAGAUGACCAGUUCCUCGGAUUUGCAUUUUUCUUUCUUCAUCCACUAAAAUCACAUUUAGAUUUAUCUUUCAAAUUUGAUGAAGAAGAAUAUGCUUACAAGAGAGUAUAUAGUCCUUUUUGUGUGUGCAAUGAGAUUAAUGGUAAUGAGGAUAAACUGAGCCUGGUGUACUAUCCUAAGACUACUAUUCGAGACAAGUUCCACUCCAAUCAAUAUAUGGACCUUGAGGUUUCAUUUUAUGGUUCUAAUUUUGGUAGCCAGAAUAAAACCAAAAAUUGCGGGGUCCAUCUUAUAUACUCCCAAGAUCAUCAACAGAAUCAUAACUCGUUAGAUUUUCCUGAGAAUUCUGGUGACAACAGAUCAACAGCAAAGGACAUUAAAAGAAGCCAUGAUGAUGCAGCACAUAACCAAGCAGAGGAGCCAUACCAUAAAAGAUUGAGAGAAUCUAACACCCAUCUCAAGCUUUAAACUCAAUCACCAGCUCUUGGUUUUUCUGAUGGUUUUAAACAAGGGGGGCAUGGCAUGACCCGGGAGAGAAAUUCAGCUGCCUUGGACGUGUGGCAAGAGAUAAUGGCUGCCCAUGAAAGUAGUUGCAAGCCCAUGCUUGCUGAGGGGGGGAAUAGGAGAGUGGGUAGUGGCUUGCUGAGGAAGAGAGGGACAAGAUAGAAACAGGAGGUUUUUUUUCGUAAGGGGGGGGUGGUAUUCGGCAGCCAGUGAAAGGGGAGGAUCAGAGGAACACUUCAGGUAUGGUUUCUUCACACCUUUCUUAUUCUCUCUUCCCCGUCGUCACAGGUCUUGAUUAUUUCGUCUUGCUCCUUGAAUGUUAUUAUUUUAUUUUAUUGCGUAGUGAACUGUGCGGAAUCUGAGUUUUCAUGCCUACUUUGUUUUGGUUCUUUCCCGGUUACUUGGAUUCCUUUGAUGAAUAACUGUUGUGUCGUUUUGCUCUUUUGGGCUCGGUAUCUUAUCAAUCGUAUUAUUACUCC